rnacentral:rRNA from 1 species
UGGGGAAUUUUGGACAAUGGGGGAAACCCUGAUCCAGCCAUCCCGCGUGUGCGAUGAAGGCCUUCGGGUUGUAAAGCACUUUUGGCAGGAAAGAAACGUCAUGGGCUAAUACCCCGUGAAACUGACGGUACCUGCAGAAUAAGCACCGGCUAACUACGUGCCAGCAGCCGCGGUAAUACGUAGGGUGCAAGCGUUAAUCGGAAUUACUGGGCGUAAAGCGUGCGCAGGCGGUUCGGAAAGAAAGAUGUGAAAUCCCAGAGCUCAACUUGGGAACUGCAUUUUUGACUACCGGGCUAGAGUGUGUCAGAGGGAGGUGGAAUUCCGCGUGUAGCAGUGAAAUGCGUAGAUAUGCGGAGGAACACCGAUGGCGAAGGCAGCCUCCUGGGAUAACACUGACGCUCAUGCACGAAAGCGUGGGGAGCAAACAGG